AAAUAAAAAUAAAUAAUCAUGCCAAUCUAAAACUUGGGUGGACCUCGACACAAAUCAGUGGUAGGUCCCCACUCUAUAUACAUACAUGUGUUUCACCAUACUUACACCUUUUACACCGGGGGGUUGAAUUUCUUCUUAUGUUUAUAUUACCAUAACAAAACUUACUGGAUCCCAAACAUCACAAGAAAUUAUUUUCACAAUAAAAAUAUCAUGGAAUCCAUGUCUUGCAUCCAAAAGCCACAAUAUCUCCUUAUGUUGGUGCAGUUUCUGUGCACCUUAAUCAUUUUCUCUUGAAGGUCAAAGGAGAUGGGAGAUGUUAUAUAUCUACUAUAUACACGGAGAAUUGGGUAAAUUCACCUGGGCAACAGGAAGACAAUUCAUGGCAGGCUUUUGUGUUUGUACCGAAAGAUAACUGGUAUAUUGCAAAGGCAAGUUCCAUGCCCUUAAAGUUCUCAUUUUCGUACUUGGGAACUAUUAGGUGAUCUCAAGUUAAUUGGAAACUAACAUCUUUGUAUUACAAGUUCAACUUGAAAACUAACAUAAUUGGAUUUUGGUGUUGCCUUCAUUGUAGAACCAAGGAAGUUAUUUGCAAUUUUGUCA